rnacentral:rRNA from 1 species
AUUGAACGCUGGCGGCAUGCCUUACACAUGCAAGUCGAACGGCAGCACGGGUGCUUGCACCUGGUGGCGAGUGGCGAACGGGUGAGUAAUACAUCGGAACGUACCUUAUCGUGGGGGAUAACGCAGCGAAAGCUGUGCUAAUACCGCAUACGCCCUGAGGGGGAAAGCGGGGGAUCGCAAGACCUCGCGCGAUUAGAGCGGCCGAUGCCUGAUUAGCUUGUUGGUGGGGUAAAAGCCCACCAAGGCGACGAUCAGUAGCUGGUCUGAGAGGACGAUAGGCCACACUGGGACUGAAACACGGCCCAGACUCCUACGGGAGGCAGCAGUGGGGAAUUUUGGACAAUGGGGGCAACCCUGAUCCAGCAAUGCCGCGUGAGUGAAGAAGGCCUUCGGGUUGUAAAGCUCUUUUGUCAGGGAAGAAACACCGGCUCUAACACAGUCUGGGAAUGACGGUACCUGAAGAAUAAGCACCGGCUAACUACGUGCCAGCCGCCGCCGUAA